rnacentral:rRNA from 1 species
AACGAACGCUGGCGGCAUGCCUAACACAUGCAAGUCGAACGAACCCUUCGGGGUUAGUGGCGCACGGGUGCGUAACACGUGGGAAUCUGCCCUUUGCUUCGGAAUAACAGUUAGGAAUGACUGCUAAUACCGGAUGAUGUCGUAAGACCAAAGAUUUAUCGGCAAAGGAUGAGCCCGCGUAGGAUUAAGGUAGUUGGUGGGGUAAAGGCCUACCAAGCCGACGAUCCUUAGCUGGUCUGAGAGGAUGAUCAGCCACACUGGGACUGAGACACGGCCCAGACUCCUACGGGAGGCAGCAGUGGGGAAUAUUGGACAAUGGGCGAAAGCCUGAUCCAGCAAUGCCGCGUGAGUGAUGAAGGCCUUCGGUUGUAAGCUCUUUUACCAGGGAUGAUAAUGACAGUACCUGGAGAAUAAGCUCCGGCUAACUCCGUGCCAGCAGCCGCGGUAAU